rnacentral:rRNA from 1 species
GACGAACGCUGGCGGCGUGCUUAACACAUGCAAGUCGAACGAAGUGGCGAACGGGUGAGUAAUACGUGGGUAACCUGCCCUCCUUUUUGGGAUAAGCCUUGGAAACGGGGUCUAAUACCGAAUAAAGGGGGAUGGGCUCGCGGCCUAUCAGCGUGUUGGUGGGGUGCUGGCCUACCAAGGCGGUGACGGGUAGCCGGCCUGAGAGGGUGACCGGCCACUGUGGGACUGCGAUACGGCCCAGACGCCUACGGGGGGCAGCGGUGGCGGAUAUUGCACAAUGGGCGAAAGCCGGAUGCAGCGACUCCGCGUGCGGGAUGUCGGCCUUCGGGUUGUAAACCGCUUUCGGCCAUGACGCGGUAGUGGCAGAAGAAGCACCGGCUAACUACGUGCCAGCAGCCGCGGUAAUAC